rnacentral:sRNA from 1 species
CAGUAACAUCUUUAAACUGCAUAGUGUUAAUUUAAAGAAUCAGAACAUCAUCUUUUUUUUUAAUAUAUUGCUUUUCAUUUCAUUGCCAAUGAAGUUGAAUAAGGAUAUUUAUUUUCUGAACAUCAGAAGAUUUGCAGACAAAUGAUUUGAGUAAAAUCUGAGCAAGUUAGAAAAUGUUUAUUUCUUAGUUUUUUCAGAAGAAGUUUUGUUUUGUUUUGUUUUGUUUUGUUUUGUUUGAGACAAGGUCUUACUGUGUUGCCCAGGUUGGAGUGCACUGACGCAAUCUCAGCUCACUGCAACCUCCGCCUCCUGGGUUCAAGCGAUUCUCCUGUCUCAGCCUCCCCUAGUGGCUGGGAUUACAGGCACCUGCCACCGCACCUGGCUAAGUUAUCUGUAGAUGACAUUUCACCUGAAGAAGUUGGUGGUAACCCUUACCCAUAACCAAACUUAGGAUUUUUAGAUAUGGGAAAAGCAAGUAUGAUGACUUACAAAGCUCUGCCUUAAAGGGUAAUACAUUGGUUUAAUCAGGUUUACUCCACAACAGGGAAUUCAGGUAGCUUAGUUUUAUAUCUUCUUUGAGUCUAAUUACAGUCUUUGAGUUGAGGAGUUAGUAGCAUUUUUUUUCCAGCCAAAAUUCCCAGUUGAUCUUUCUUCUUAAUUCUCCAGUGUUCACUAGAUUUGAAAUUCUGCCCUGCUUGCCCAUGGUGCUUUGUCUUAUGGUAGUCUCAUUCUCCAAAAUCAUUUAUCUUGAACCUCAGUGUGACUUGUCUUUCCAGAUCUCUGCCUUUGUCUGAUCUCUGAAACACCAAAGGUCUUCCUUUCCUUUCAAACUUUCCUUGUGACCAGAGUCACAAACGUUGCUGUGCUCUGAGAUGGUUGGUUGGAAACCAGCCCAAGCUGCAUUUGGCACAGUAUACACCAGUGAAGACAGGUUGCCAGGAUGAAGCCAUAGGCUGUCUCACAGUUACAGAUGAACCGCUUCCUGCCCCCAGGUUCCCCUUCUACUGAUGUAACUAAGGUCUCUAACCCAGAACUCCCUAGGCAAUCCGCUAUAGCACCAUUACCGAUGGUUGAUGGACAUGCCAAGGUAUUGACCUCUUAAGCCAGUAGUGGCUGGUUAGAGCUUGGCAAAGGAGCAGCCCCCUCAGUUUAUCUCAGUGUGCCAUACAAAUAAUAUUUUCUGUGGAUGUUACAGUGUGAAAAAGGGUGGGAAGUAGUGCCCUGUUGAGCCAUAUUAGAGCCCCAGGCAAAAGAAAAAAAUGUGCAUUCCUGUAUAUUUUUUCUUCUUUAAUGGCUAAGUUUUUUUCCAGAAUAUUAAAGUAGUUGAAAAAAUAGUGAAAAAAAAAAAAA